rnacentral:rRNA from 1 species
UACGGGGGGGGCAAGCGUUGUUCGGAAUUACUGGGCGUAAAGGGCUCGUAGGCGGCCAACUAAGUCAGACGUGAAAUCCCUCGGCUUAACCGGGGAACUGCGUCUGAUACUGGAUGGCUUGAGGUUGGGAGAGGGAUGCGGAAUUCCAGGUGUAGCGGUGAAAUGCGUAGAUAUCGUCAAGAACACCGAUAGUGAAGACAGCUUACUAAACUUUAACUGACGCUGAGGCACGAAAGUGUGGGGAUCAAACAGG